GGCCUCACUUCGGCAGCACAUAUACCAAAAUUGGAACAAUACAGAGAAGAUCAGCAUGGCUCAUGCUCAAGAAUGACCCAAAAGGUUGUAAAGUGUUCCGUAUUUUU
rnacentral:snRNA from 1 species